rnacentral:lncRNA from 1 species
GUAUUAUUUUAUGAUCUCUUUUGUUACAUCCUUAGUGUCCAAUAGGAUUUUUGUUGCGUUUGCUUUAUAUCUGAAAUUCUGCAUUUUAAUUCAGCUACACAAAUAAUGCAUCUUUUCAACAAAACUCAGAUACAAAUAAUGUUCUAAUAUUGUUAUUUAUUUCCAUACAGCAUUAAUCUCUAGUAAGUCUAACUUCGCAAUCUCUUUUCUCACUUUUCAAUACACCUCUAGCUUCCAAUUGUUUUGCCUAGAGACUUUAAGGCCUAUGACUGCCAGAAUGAAAGAUUGUUACCUCUUUUCCCUUGCUUAUUAAGAUGGCCAGAGGGUGUGAUGGCUCCUACCUGACUGAUACAAUUGAAAUCAAAGACUUGCCAAGUUAUACCAGCAACUCCAGCAAAACUGUGAACUUACUGGCCUUGGAGGACUAUGGAUUGAAACACACAAAACAUCUUUGGCUGUGCAUGCCCUUCACACUGGCUGCCUAGUCCCCUCACAGAAGAUUGUACCAUGUGGUAGUUGGCAAGUGGGCUGGAGCUGCUGCAAUCACGGGGAUGUCUGAUAUUGCAACAAAGGAAGCAAAACAGAGCUAAAUGAAUCCUGUGCAAUGAGGAGGCAUUUUCAGGUAGUGGCCAGAAACUAGAAACUGCUCUUUUCUGGUUAAAAACGUUUGUGACCCAUAAAACCUUCUCACUGCUUACUAAAUAGCACAGUUCUGAGAUACAAACCAGCAAAUUUACAAAUCACAAUGCUUUUCCUGCUGAAUCAAUAGCUGUAGCAAAUAUAUAUAUGUAAAAUGCAAUGGAAAAAUGAAGACCUCUUUAGAAGCCUGCAGAAAAUUUAUACUAGAUAUGAAAGUUUGAGCAAUCACGUAAAAGCCCUAGUCCCUUAACAUUGCUUUUAAGGUCAUCAGUGUCCUGGACGUUGGUGACUUCCCUGCACCCAUUUCUUCACUCCCCACCUUGAACUUCAUGUUUAACUCUUAUUUCUUCCAGUACUUAGUGAACACUGUCUUCUCUCUAAGCCUUUUCCUGGAGGAACAUUCUCUUGUCUGACUUCCUAAGUCUGAGUUAAGUGGUCUCCUAUGUCUCCUCUAAUAAACUUAUUUUACCCUGUCAUUAUUCUUAGUGCACUUAUUUAAUUCCCUGUUUACUAGCUUAUCCUGCUUCUAGGUUACAAGCUCUGGCAUAUCUGUUCUGUUCACCAUUGUAUCCUGAAUGCCUGGCACUUAGAAAGCCUUCAAUAAAUACUUGUUGAAUGGCGUUCAUUGCAGAAGCACUAAAGAAUUUUUGCAUGUUUUUACAUUAAGAAAAAUCUUAGUAGCAGGAUCAGAUCUCAGUCAUAUAGUACACUCAGUUGUGCAAACAUGAUUCCGGUAAUUUAUAUUCUUUAAAUAAACUGAAUUUUAAUUCCAAACUACUAUUUCACUAGGAUGUCAAGAAAUUUCAUCUCAGUCAUUUAGGGGCCAGAUCCUUCCCUGGGAUCUCACAGAACCAGGGAGGUUUAUAUGAGAUCCACGAAAUGGCUGAAAGGGCUCCACUGUCUUUCUGGUACUGCUCCUAGUCCACGCAUGAGGAAAGAAGCCCUGUCAAUCUCUGCUCCUAAGCUACACAGGGUUUCAAUAAUCUGAGCUGCUUCUGGGAAGCCCCUGCCCAGAGCCCUGUCUUCCUAGUUAUUCCUGCAAGGAAUUUGCUCUGAAGCCUGGUCACUGCCACGCCUUCUCCAGUUCACCCUACCUUCAUCAAUUCUGACCUCUUUUUUGAUCUUAGAAAAAUUUUACCUCCUCCACUUCCUUCUCAUUUCUCCCCUGAAUGUACCCUCCCCCUUUCAUUGGCACUUAACCUUUCAAAAUAGGACAGGCCUUAGAAUAACAAAUGCCAGGAAGGCAUCUUGUUCUCAAGCCCCAUAAAUCUCGGGCAAGAAACAUAAACGUCAUGGAUAAUCAGUUACAAAUAGGAAGUGGAAGGAAAUAUACAGAGAACAAAUAUCCAAAAUAAUUUUUCAACAGAGAAGACAACUACAAAAUCCUGCUACUUCUCGAUUUCCUUAUGUAAAGAUUUGGCCAGAUGGCCCAAGAUGUUAAUAAUGUUAGAUACAGGAUUGGAGAUACUGCAGAUGGGCAAAGAUCACAACCACUUCCCUCAGGCACAAGCUAAAAUGGGUACCAGCUUCUAGAAGCAUUUGGAAAUUAACAUCUAAAACACACUGUUUUAUUUAAAGUUUACUUUUCCUCUUUUUCUUUCUCUUUUGUAUUUAUAUAUACACACAUAUAUAUCAAUCAUAUGUGUAUGUGUGAUGUUUGCAUACAAUAAACUUACAUAUAUACAUGCAUACAUAUAUAAUACAUGUUAUAUGUAAGUAUAUAGUAUAACAUAUUUAUUUUGUAUUUGUUUAUUGUAUAUUAAAUUAUAUAUUAUAUUUAUAUAAUAUAUAUGUUAAUAAUAUUAGAUAGAAUUUGUAUAUUACAUAAUAUUGUAUGUUAUAUAAUGUGAAAGGAAAAUAUCUUGUGCCCCCAAAAUCACUAAGGUAAGGGGAAAAUUCAAGCUAAGAACUGCUUAGGGCAAACCUGCCUCCCAUGCUAUUCAAAGUAUUCCCUUUGCUCACUGAGAUAAAUGCAUAACUGAUUGCCUCCUUUGGAAAGACUAAUCAGAAACUCAAAAGAAUGCAACCAUUUUUGUCUCUCACCCACCUGUGACCUGGAAGCCCCCUCCCUGCUCCAAGUUGCUUAGGGAAAAAAAAUAAAAAUUAAAAAAAAAAUUAAAAUUCAGAUUAUUACAUCUGUGUAUCUCUUUGUAUGCACUUUCAAAGUACUUAUGACAUUGAGUUACAGGGCUUUGACUCUUGGGUCCACAAAGGGACACCAAGUCCUGCUAAAUUUUAAACACUGACAGCAAUUAAAGCCCCAUCUUCAGGCCCAGUACAAGAUGUCAAUCAAAAUAAACUGCAUUCCUGAAACAUAGAGCCAGAAAUUAAAGCUAUUCAACUCCUCAAGGCCCAGGGACUAUCAUGGAAAAGGUGGGUGUGUGAGAAUGUAAGAGUCAAUCCUGAGUUCAGUUUCUCUAUAAAUUAAUCAUUAAUGUCAAAGGCACACUGAUGCAAGACCAGCAUA